AACGAACGCUGGCGGCAUGCCUAACACAUGCAAGUCGAACGAGACCUUCGGGUCUAGUGGCGCACGGGUGCGUAACGCGUGGGAAUCUGCCCUUGGGUUCGGAAUAACAGUUAGAAAUGACUGCUAAUACCGGAUGAUGUCUUCGGACCAAAGAUUUAUCGCCCAGGGAUGAGCCCGCGUAGGAUUAGCUUGUUGGUGAGGUAAAGGCUCACCAAGGCGACGAUCCUUAGCUGGUCUGAGAGGAUGAUCAGCCACACUGGGACUGAGACACGGCCCAGACUCCUACGGGAGGCAGCAGUGGGGAAUAUUGGACAAUGGGCGAAAGCCUGAUCCAGCAAUGCCGCGUGAGUGAUGAAGGCCUUAGGGUUGUAAAGCUCUUUUACCCGGGAUGAUAAUGACAGUACCGGGAGAAUAAGCCCCGGCUAACUCCGUGCCAGCCGCCGCCGUAACAC
rnacentral:rRNA from 1 species